CCUACGGGAGGCAGCAGUGGGGAAUAUUGCGCAAUGGGCGAAAGCCUGACGCAGCGACGCCGCGUGAGGGAUGAAGGUCCUCGGAUCGUAAACCUCUGUCAGCAAGGAAGUACGGUCACUGUGCUAAUCAGCAGUGAAUUGACGGUACCUGCAAAGGAAGCACCGGCUAACUCCGUGCCAGCAGCCGCGGUAAUACGGAGGGUGCGAGCGUUAAUCGGAUUUACUGGGCGUAAAGCGCUCGUAGGCGGUAUGUCAAGUCAAGUGUGAAAUCCCCGCGCUCAACGUGGGAACUGCCUUUGAUACUGGCAGACUGGAGUGUGUGAGAGGAUAGUGGAAUUCGAGGUGUAGGAGUGAAAUCCGUAGAUAUCUGGAAGAACAUCAGUGGCGAAGGCGACUAUCUGGCACAUAACUGACACUGAGGAGCGAAAGCGUGGGUAGCAAACAGGAUUAGAUACCCCUGUAGUC
rnacentral:rRNA from 1 species